rnacentral:rRNA from 1 species
AAUGAACGCUGGCGGUAUGCCUAACACAUGCAAGUCGAACGACAACACGAUGAGCUCUUUCUCUUGCCGUUGGCGAGGGACGGGCGAGUGACACGUGCAUCGCAAUCUUAUUUUACGGGGAUGACAUCGUGGAACCACUUCCACUAAUGCCUCAUAUAUCCUACUGGUUGAAUCAAUGGAGCUUCGCGGCUUUCGUGUUUCAUUUAGCUGAUUCCGCGUCGCAUUAGCUAGUUGGUAAGGUAACGGCUUACCGAGGCGACGAUGCGUAGCUGACCUGAGAGGGUGAUCAGCCACACUGGAACAGAGACACGGUCCCGACUCCUACGGGAGGCAGCAGUGGGGAAUAUUGGACAAUGGGGGCAAGCCUGAUCCAGCGCUACCGCGUGGGUGAAGAAGGCCUUCGGGUUGUAAAGCCCUUUUGUUGUGAAAGAAAAGAAGCAGGUUAAUACCACGCUGUUCUGACGGUACCCAAAGAAUAAGCACCGGCUAACUUCGUG